AGUAGCAUACUGUGGGUGGCGAGUGGCGGACGGGUGAGUAAUGCAUCGGGACCUACCCAGACGUGGGGGAUAACCUCGGGAAACCGGGACUAAUACCGCAUACGUCCUACGGGAGAAAGCGGGGGACCUUCGGGCCUCGCGCGGUUGGACGGACCGAUGUGCGAUUAGCUAGUUGGUAGGGUAAUGGCCUACCAAGGCGACGAUCGCUAGCUGGUCUGAGAGGAUGAUCAGCCACACUGGGACUGAGACACGGCCCAGACUCCUACGGGAGGCAGCAGUGGGGAAUAUUGGACAAUGGGCGCAAGCCUGAUCCAGCAAUGCCGCGUGUGUGAAGAAGGCCUUCGGGUUGUAAAGCACUUUUAUCAGGAAC
rnacentral:rRNA from 1 species